CAGAAUCCAAAGCGAACAGGAAUAGUUGUACAUCCUGCGGCAAAAAGUCCGCCGAUAGAGCCUCAAUUUAGGGUUUUGCUGUUUAUUAUUUUAUAAGUCAAUGGAACGACAGGAGCAGCAGUCUAGUCAGCCUAUGCUGUGUAGGAACGGUUGUGGAUUUUAUGGUUGCCCUGCAACGGAAGGAAUGUGCUCAAAAUGUUACAAAGACACACUAAAAAGGAAACAGAAUUCCUCACAAGCCACCGGUAGAGUCAGUCCAAGUCAAGCUCUUACAGGUGCUAAUCUCUCGGCAGUGGCAGCAGCAGCAGUAGCCACGACAACCACAACCUCAGUCAAUGAAGUCCCUAUUACAUCAACAAACAAUACAAUGGUGACGGAUACACCGUUACCAGAUGGUGCAGCGGCGGCCACCGUGUGUUUAGACGAUUCUUUAGAUUCACCCUCCACCUCAGCUGGCUCGUCUAGCGAUGAAAAAGAUAAUGAGAAGAAAACAAAAAAGCGGAAUCGUUGUUAUGCUUGUCGUAAGAAAGUAGGACUUACAGGAUUCGAAUGCCGCUGCGGAGGAUUAUAUUGUAGUUUACAUCGGUACUCUGAUAAACAUGGAUGCUCGUUUGAUUACCGGGCUGAAGGACAAGAACAAAUUAGGAAAAACAAUCCUGUUGUCGUGGGCGAGAAGAUACAGAAAAUUUAGUUUAUUGUUUUUUGUUUAGUGUAUAGUCUAUUAAUAUUAUUAUUAUUAUUGAAAGAAUGAAAGAACAAACAAUUGAGUGCAUGUUUAUGUGUGAAUGAAUUCAAUCAGCCAUUUUGAAUUUCGGGAUCAAAGGUCAUGUGGUAUUGUGGUGAUGAGGCCAUUUUGGAUUUUAACUCUUUUUGUCACUGGGUUUGGAUGGUCUUUUAAGGUGUUUUUUUUUGCAUUUAAAAUAAUUUGUAUGAGAAGUGUCAACUCAAAGUACUGGUUUUCUGGAAAUCACUAAUUUAUAGUAUUUGCAACACUCCCAGAAGCCAUAUUCUGACAAGACUAUAGAGGGCGCUGCAAUUUGACAAGACUAUAGAGGGCGCCGCAUUCUGUAAUAAACUCGAAAGUGCACUGUAACUUAUUGGAGUUACUGCUACUGUUUAUGCAAAUUAUUUAAUUUUAUACUCGCCAAAAAAACCACAUCCAGCCUUCUGAACCUUUGUUAUUGAGUGUGACAACUUUUCAUGUGAACUUUAAAUUUGACUUGUUUAUUUUUAGCAUGAAUACCAUUGCCCUUUGACCUUGGAUAUUCAAGAUGGCUGUCCACAUUUGUUUUUUGGUUUCUGCUAUUUUGUGUGGUGUCAUUAGCCAAGAUUUUUAAUUCCAAACUUGGUAGAAAAAACAAACAGUCUAUGAAACAUUUAUUUCAAGAUCUGUAUUAAAAAUGUUUGAGGUUUAAAAAAACUCAUUACAAAAAAAAUUAUAUACCUUUUUUUUUUUCUGUAGCCUCGCUUAAACUAUUAGUGCAAAGACCAAGAAAAUUGUAUUAAAAUAUUUGUACAAAAUAUUUCAUAUGUAUUUGACAUUCUAGAAAACAACACAAUUUGUUUUAAAAAAGCUGAUAGAUGAUGAAAAUGCACCUUUUUUUUCAUUUUGUUUGAAUAAUGUAGAUUUCAUACUUACUCUUAACCCUAUCACCGACCUGGUCAUGUUUUGUAAAGUAGUUUUCUGUACCUUUUUUUUUUAAAUUGACGAAGGUUUAGAUCAAAACCAGUAAGCAAUGUCAGAUUUUGUCAGUUUGGUUCAAAAUUAAUCUUAAAUUAGAGAAAAUUACAGAAAAUACCAGUAAGUGUUGUCAUAUUCUAUCUGUUUGGUCCAAAAUUAUUGUUAUCAGAAAAAAAUUACGAAAAAUAUGAUCAAAAGUCUGUAGGUGAAAGGGUUAUAUGUUCGUUUCAAUCACUUUUCACAAAAUAAGUAAUUUAUUCAUCUUUUCUUAUAAAAUUUGUUCAAAACUUGCAAGCGAUGUCAAAUUCUGUUUGGUCUAAAAUAACCAAAAGGAAUUAUAGAAUAGAAACACAAAAAAUGAUUACUAACCAUCUAAUGGCGUGGACAAUUUCUGUUGAUGGCAACCAUGUGAGAGUUUGUUACGUGUCUACCAGGUAUAUUAGUAUGAAAAUACUGUAAAAUGACUAAUUUUCACUGGGUUUAAAUUUCCCUGAUUUAGCAUUUCGGGCAUAUUCAGUGGGUUUUAAAUUCACGGUUUUAUCAUUUAGAUAAUGUAUUCUAUUCUAAAUUUUCCAUAUUCACUGGGUUUUAAUUUAGCGCAUUUUCCAGUCAGCGGAAUAAGCAAAAUUAAAACCCAGUGAAUACUUAACCCCUUUACAGUAGGAGAUUUCCCGUUCACUACAUCGCAAUGACCUUUGUCCCGUUUACGUUCGACUUCACACAUAACGCAGGAUCUCGCAGUGAACGGAAAAUGGUCUAUUAAGAUCAGUUAUUAUGGUCCACACGUAUAUAUAUGAACUUCAUAAAAAUGAAAAGCAGAGAAAGAAUGUUACUUUGGAUUGUCAAGUCUUCUAUUUAGUUUCAUUUUAUUAUCGAUGCAGAAUUUUAAUAAUCUGUACAACUGACAGUAAACGGAAAAGCAGAGAAAGAAAGUUACUUUGGAUUGUCAAGUCUUCUAUUUAGUUACUUUUUAUCAUCGAUGCAGGAUUUUAAUAAUCUGUUCAACCGACUGUAAACAAACUAGAUUUUAUCAUAAAAAGAUAUCUUCUAUAUGAGCAGUAGGACAUCGGUAUUUUUCCCAGAAAUUCAAACUAGCGUGGUACGCAUACUAAUUUGCAUAAUAUUUUAUGAUUAUUGCAAACAAAAAUUGAUUAACAUAAAAACACCAAUGUUUACUGUCCAAUCACAUCAUUAAUACUACUGUAUAAGUUGUAGUAGACAUCAAAGAUAUUUGCCAUCCCAUAAUAUUUCAGAUCAUUGCAUUUUAGCUUGGCAUUAUUAUUGGGAUAAUUGUGCAAAACAAGUGUUCAUUAAUCUUUUAUAUCUGCUGGCACCAAAAGAUUAAGACCUACUGGAAAUAAUUUUACAGCAAUUAAACUGGUUUACAGAGGUUUGAACCAGUUUGAACUUUCACUCAGGUUUGAACCAGUUUAAACUGGUUUGCACAGGUUUAGACUGCUAUUACUGUAUUGAUUAGACAUGCACACAAGGAGAUCUCCAUGCUAAUUUUAAGUUUUUAAUUUUCUGCUUACCAUCUUAGGAUUCAACAAAAAUUCUAGUUAGAAGUUGGUGUAUGUUGAAGCAUUAAUGUGAAUUGCGUUUCUCUGUGUCUCAUUGGCAUGUUAAAUAGCCUUAGUGGACAUCCAGCUCUAAUACCAUCUGUAUGACAUUACUCCAAAAUUGGUAGUAUAUUGUACCUGGAAUUAUGUCAAGCUCAGUCUACUUUCUGGACUUAAAAUCAACUUUUAAUUUCCUUGUAUUGUGUCACCAAAAUGUGCUUGCUACAGUUAAUCUCUGAAUCAUAAUUUUGUUUGUUGAACCGUAGUUAGGACAAAUAUACAGAAUUUUCUCCUGGCUUUAAAUGCAAAUGUUAGCUAAUAUCUUGUUAGGAGCAAGAAAAUGUCCCUUAAAAAGUGUUUCUUUCUCUUGUGCAGACUGUUUCCCUAAUCUAAGUAGGACUAUGGAUGAGAGAAUGGAACACUGUUUAAUGGGCACAAAUCUUGCAGUUCUUGCAUCUCAAUGAGAUCUCGGCAGUCGUUUGUGUCUUGCAUUUAUUCUUCAUUUUCUCAUCGGCACUUGUUUUGUUCAAAUUUUUCUAUAAUCCCUGCAUUCUUUGCUAAAUGUUGAACCGGGUUACCGACCAUUUUAACUGAACUUCUGGGUACUCUCACAUGGUGGUAAAUCAGUAACGGCAAAUAACGUAAACGGCAUUUAUGAUUGAUAUGAGAUUGGGUGAGUUGAUGAAGAUAACAAUCACACUUCGCGAAAUCGUCUUUUACAGCAUAUUCAGCAUGAAUCGUGAAAAACAUUUGAUAUUACGAUAUACAGUUGUAUAUUCACUUCAAGAAUCCAAUUUUUUGAAAUGCAUUCUGUAUGCCAGGUGGUUCGCUGCAUGAUUUCAAUGAUUUCUUCAUUCUAUGUGACCAGGCCCUUAUUUUUAUUUGCCUUUGAUUAGAUGCUACAAAACAGACGUAUUAGUCACCGUUUCAUUCAUUCAUUGAUUCUAAAAUUAUCUAUCUUAUACAUUUAAUUAUUAGAGUUUUUUUGUAUUGUUUACAUAGAAGAUAUUUAGUAUUUUAUGCUGUUUUGUGCUAGAUGGUUGGAAGCCCAGGUUCUGUUUGUGUGUUCUCAGUUAUCAAUGUUUUUGCUUAUAUGAUACAACAAUAGGAUGCGUGUACAGUGAAACUUGCUUGACCAACUCUUUUGUAGAAUUGUUUUUAUUUAAGUCUAUAGAGUGGUUAUCAGGAAAAUUGUAUUUGGUUUACAAAUGUUUUACUAUUUUAUGAGGAAGUUCACCACCUGUGAUGCAGUGUAAUCUGUGAAAAUAAGGUUGAAUAUUUUGUGAUAGAUCUGUAGCUAUCCAUGUGGCAUUCCACUUGUUGUACCCCACUCCAUUAAUGCUUACCGGUAGGUACGUUGUUAAUAAUUAUGAAUUGUGGUAAACUAUUGUCAUCAAAGUGAGUGUUAUUCACCACAAGAUCAUAUUUGGGGGGGGUGGGGUGUGUUCCCAUGUGUGUAGCUUACGGUCUUCCAAAUUAACAAGCGAUUAUUUCCUGACAUCCCACAGUCAGUGAGAGACGUUUGCAUAACUCUGAAUAGGCAAUGAGAUAAUACUCGCACUGUACCUAGGCAUAUAGUGAGUGGAAUGCUACAUAGUUGCAUCUGACAACUAAUUUUUUUUUUUAUUUGCAAGGGGCACACAGCAGAACCAAGCUUUCGUCUUUAUAGAAUCAUAGAAUUUAGAAAAUUGCUAUUUUAUUUGACAGCUUACAAGAAUUUUUGACAUUGCAAAAGAAAUUUGAAAAUCACAUCAAAGAUUGUCUGCGCUGUGAAACAGGACUUUUGAUUGGAUGAUUUAUUGUUUAAAUGCCAACUACCUUCUUACUUGACCAACCAGGUACACUGUUACUUGUGUCAGUGGUGGAAAGAAAUCACCCACUUCCUGUUGUUCAUGGAAUUAAAUUUACAUAAUUAAAGAAA
rnacentral:misc_RNA from 1 species